GGCCUCCCAGUGCUCACCACAGGCUGUGUUCUUACACUGACUGCACAGAAAGAAGAGGCAGUAUACCCACCCGUAUACACCUCAGCACAGCUCUUUGCCUGGUCUGUAUUGUGGAUGGGGGGGAUCAG